CGGCGAGCGAACGGGGAGGAGCCCAGAGUCUGAAUCAGUGUGUGUGUUAGUGGAAGCGUCUGGAAAGGCGCGCGAUACAGGGUGACAGCCCCGUACACAAAAAUGCACAUAUUGUGAGCUCGAUGAGUAGGGCGGGACACGUGGUAUCCUGUCUGAAUAUGGGGGGACCAUCCUCCAAGGCUAAAUACUCCUGACUGACCGAUAGUGAACCAGUACCGUGAGG
rnacentral:rRNA from 1 species